rnacentral:tRNA from 1 species
GCGCUCGUCAUCCAGCUGGACAGGAUGCCGGGGGAAGGACGCUCGACGGACCGCCGCCGGGAAUGUCGCCGCCGGUCACGUCGGUUCGAUCCCGGCCGGGCGCU